AGACCUCCACAGUGUGUUCAACAGAACUCUCUGAUUUCCCAGCAGAAGGCCUGGAACGCAAUCUCUGCUUGGUGCUGCCAGGAUAGCUUGGUUUUCCUCCCGUGAGCCCUUGGUUAUGAAACCGGCACCUGCCCAAGGUCAGCGGAGUUAAACUGAAGCAAGAAAUAACUAAACAUUGAGAAAGCAUUUCAAAGACACGAGAAGUCCACCAACCCAGAAAUUAUCUGGAAGUGUGCCUGUCUCCGUGGGCCCAGUCUGAGGAGCUGGGACGGAGAGGGCACCUUCAUGAGUUUUAAGACCUGCUGUGUGCAACCAUCGUGGCUACCUCAGAGAGAAGGAUAGCAUUCACUCCCAAGGGAUUUCCUAUAGGGAACCAAGAUCAAACUACCCCUGAUGUAGAACAUCUGCAUGCUCACUGGCCAGUUGCCUGACAGAGAGGCCUGCCCCUCAGGGCCCUACACCUCCAUGUAUACGUCCUGAAACCAACAGAGAUGACUUCAUCUUCUUUCUCGGGCAACGGAGUAUCAACCUCCGGGGAAAUAGCAAGAGAUGGGACUGGAGACUUGAAGUGUCUUCCCAAAUUGGUGAAACCUGCCCCACCUCCAGGUUGAUCCCUUUCUCCAUUCCCGUUGGAGCUUUGGGCAGCUCUCACCAUCUUCAAUGGGCACAUAAAGUCUCUGUUGUCUGUGUUGAUACAACAGUGGUGGUCUCUGGUGAGGACACCAAAUUAUCUGAAUAGAUCUUCUAAGGAAGAUGGGGAUCAAGAAAGACCUUGAAGCACCGUAAACUAUCCUGGCACCCAUGUUUGGGAAGAAGCUCAAGUUGCACAAAAGUUUAAAACUACUCAGACAUGGCGGACCUGUCGUGAGCGUCUGUGCUCCCUUCUCAAAGGGCUGAGUGCACAGUGUGUCCCAGUCCAUCCCCCAGAGACUGGCUCUCCCUCCUGACAGACACCCAGUGACUCCCUAAUGCUUGGAAAUGGUCCUGGGACUCUCUGGCAUACACCAGGUUCCUCUCUUGCCAAGGCUCUGGAUGUUGUGAGAAUGUGCCAGAACUUGCUUGCUAUUGGGCAAAUACUUAAAAUAAAAUCUGGCAUUUU